CAUACCUAUUCGAAGGGAUAGGGUCGGCUCGGCCGGAUUUUACACAAGUGUUGCAUGGCUGUCGUCAGCUCGUGUCGUGAGAUGUUGGGUUAAGUCCCGCAACGAGCGCAACCCUCAUCCUUAGUUGCCAUCAGGUAAUGCUGAGUACUUUAAGGAAACUGCCAGUGAUAAGCUGGAGGAAGGUGGGGUUGAUGUCAAGUCAUCAUGGCCUUUAUGGAGUGGGCUACACACGUGCUACAAUGGUGUCUACAAUGGGUUGCAAGGUGCGCAAGCCUAAGCUAAUCCCUAAAAGACAUCUCAGUUCGGAUUGUACUCUGCAACUCGAGUACAUGAAGUUGGAAUCGCUAGUAAUCGUGGAUCAGCAUGCCACGGUGAAUACGUUCUCGGGUCUUGUACACACUGCCCGUCACGCUAUGGGAAUUGGUUUCACUCGAAGCU
rnacentral:rRNA from 1 species